rnacentral:rRNA from 1 species
GAUGAACGCUAGNUACAGGCUUAACACAUGCAAGUCGAGGGGCAGCAGGGAUUUAGCUUGCUAAAUCCGCUGGCGACCGGCGCACGGGUGCGUAACGCGUAUCCAACUUUCCCGUUACUCAGGGAUAGCCUUCCGAAAGGGAGAUUAAUACCUGAUGGUGUUUGAAGUUCGCAUGUUCUUCAAACUAAAGAUUUAUCGGUAACGGAUAGGGAUGCGUGACAUUAGAUAGUAGGCGGGGUAACGGCCCACCUAGUCUACGAUGUCUAGGGGUUCUGAGAGGAAGGUCCCCCACACUGGAACUGAGACACGGUCCAGACUCCUACGGGAGGCAGCAGUGAGGAAUAUUGGUCAAUGGUCGGAAGACUGAACCAGCCAAGUAGCGUGAAGGAUGAAGGUUCUAUGGAUUGUAAACUUCUUUUAUAUAGGAAUAAAACCUCCCACGUGUGGGAGCUUGUAUGUACUAUAUGAAUAAGCAUCGGCUAACUCCGUG